GAACUCAAAGGAGACUGCCAGUGAUAAACUGGAGGAAGGUGGGGAUGACGUCAAGUCAUCAUGGCCCUUACGACCAGGGCUACACACGUGCUACAAUGGCGCAUACAAAGAGAAGCGACCUCGCGAGAGCAAGCGGACCUCAUAAAGUGCGUCGUAGUCCGGAUUGGAGUCUGCAACUCGACUCCAUGAAGUCGGAAUCGCUAGUAAUCGUGGAUCAGAAUGCCACGGUGAAUACGUUCCCGGGCCUUGUACACACCGCCCGUCACACCAUGGGAGUGGGUUGCAAAAGAAGUAGGUAGCUUAACCUUCGGGAGGGCGCUUACCACUUUGUGAUUCAUGACUGGGGUGAAGUCGUAACAAGGUAACCGUAGGGGAACCUGCGGUUGGA
rnacentral:rRNA from 8 species